rnacentral:tRNA from 2 species
AAAAAGGUGAUAGAGAGGUUAUAUGGCUGGCUUGAAACCAGUAGAUGUGGGUUCGAUUCCUACCCUUUUUG